rnacentral:rRNA from 1 species
ACUUAAAUUGAAGAGUUUGAUCAUGGCUCAGAUUGAACGCUGGCGGCAGGCCUAACACAUGCAAGUCGAGCGGUAGCACAGAGAGCUUGCUCUCGGGUGACGAGCGGCGGACGGGUGAGUAAUGUCUGGGAAACUGCCUGAUGGAGGGGGAUAACUACUGGAAACGGUAGCUAAUACCGCAUAAUGUCGCAAGACCAAAGUGGGGGACCUUCGGGCCUCAUGCCAUCAGAUGUGCCCAGAUGGGAUUAGCUAGUAGGUGGGGUAACGGCUCACCUAGGCGACGAUCCCUAGCUGGUCUGAGAGGAUGACCAGCCACACUGGAACUGAGACACGGUCCAGACUCCUACGGGAGGCAGCAGUGGGGAAUAUUGCACAAUGGGCGCAAGCCUGAUGCAGCCAUGCCGCGUGUGUGAAGAAGGCCUUCGGGUUGUAAAGCACUUUCAGCGGGGAGGAAGGCGAUAAGGUUAAUAACCUCAUCGAUUGACGUUACCCGCAGAAGAAGCACCGGCUAACUCCGUGCCAGCAGCCGCGGUAAUACGGAGGGUGCAAGCGUUAAUCGGAAUUACUGGGCGUAAAGCGCACGCAGGCGGUCUGUCAAGUCGGAUGUGAAAUCCCCGGGCUCAACCUGGGAACUGCAUUCGAAACUGGCAGGCUAGAGUCUUGUAGAGGGGGGUAGAAUUCCAGGUGUAGCGGUGAAAUGCGUAGAGAUCUGGAGGAAUACCGGUGGCGAAGGCGGCCCCCUGGACAAAGACUGACGCUCAGGUGCGAAAGCGUGGGGAGCAAACAGGAUUAGAUACCCUGGUAGUCCACGCUGUAAACGAUGUCGAUUUGGAGGUUGUGCCCUUGAGGCGUGGCUUCCGGAGCUAACGCGUUAAAUCGACCGCCUGGGGAGUACGGCCGCAAGGUUAAAACUCAAAUGAAUUGACGGGGGCCCGCACAAGCGGUGGAGCAUGUGGUUUAAUUCGAUGCAACGCGAAGAACCUUACCUGGUCUUGACAUCCACAGAACUUUCCAGAGAUGGAUUGGUGCCUUCGGGAACUGUGAGACAGGUGCUGCAUGGCUGUCGUCAGCUCGUGUUGUGAAAUGUUGGGUUAAGUCCCGCAACGAGCGCAACCCUUAUCCUUUGUUGCCAGCGGUCCGGCCGGGAACUCAAAGGAGACUGCCAGUGAUAAACUGGAGGAAGGUGGGGAUGACGUCAAGUCAUCAUGGCCCUUACGACCAGGGCUACACACGUGCUACAAUGGCAUAUACAAAGAGAAGCGACCUCGCGAGAGCAAGCGGACCUCAUAAAGUAUGUCGUAGUCCGGAUUGGAGUCUGCAACUCGACUCCAUGAAGUCGGAAUCGCUAGUAAUCGUAGAUCAGAAUGCUACGGUGAAUACGUUCCCGGGCCUUGUACACACCGCCCGUCACACCAUGGGAGUGGGUUGCAAAAGAAGUAGGUAGCUUAACCUUCGGGAGGGCGCUUACCACUUUGUGAUUCAUGACUGGGGUGAAGUCGUAACAAGGUAACCGUAGGGGAACCUGCGGUUGGAUCACCUCCUUACCUUAAAGAA